GAUGAACGCUGGCGGCGUGCCUAAUACAUGCAAGUCGAGCGAACAGACGAGGAGCUUGCUCCUCUGACGUUAGCGGCGGACGGGUGAGUAACACGUGGAUAACCUACCUAUAAGACUGGGAUAACUUCGGGAAACCGGAGCUAAUACCGGAUAAUAUAUUGAACCGCAUGGUUCAAUAGUGAAAGACGGCUUUGCUGUCACUUAUAGCUGGAUCCGCGCCGCAUUAGCUAGUUGGGAAGGUAACGGCUUACCAAGGCGACGAUGCGUAGCCGACCUGAGAGGGUGAUCGGCCACACUGGAGCUGAGACACGGUCCAGACUCCUGCGGGAGGCAGCAGUAGGGAAUCUUCCGCAAUGGGCGAAAGCCUGACGGAGCAACGCCGCGUGAGUGAUGAAGGUCUUCGGAUCGUAAAACUCUGUUAUUAGGGAAGAACAAAUGUGUAAGUAACUAUGCACGUCUUGACGGUACCUAAUCAGAAAGCCACGGCUAACUACGUG
rnacentral:rRNA from 1 species